rnacentral:rRNA from 1 species
UACGUAGGGUGCGAGCGUUUGUCCGGAAUUAUUGGGCGUAAAGAGCUCGUAGGCGGCUUGUCACGUCGGGUGUGAAAGCCCGGGGCUUAACCCCGGGUCUGCAUUCGAUACGGGCUAGCUAGAGUGUGGUAGGGGGAGAUCGAAUUCCUGGUGUAGCGGUGAAAAUGCGCAGAUAUCAGGAGGAACACCGGUGGCGAAGGCGGAUCUCUGGGCCAUUACUGACGCUGAGGAGCGAAAGCGUGGGGAGCAAACAGG